GCGCUCACCGGUCCUUCCAACCGUCCUCAGGUUGCACGCGACCCGCAGUGACCUUCCACUGGGUAGGGGUGGGAAGCCGGUGGCUCCGGGCAGCCGUGAUAACCCGGCACAGAAGCAGAGUCGCAUUUCGGAGCGUCCACCCGUAACGCGGUUUUUCGCACACGGAGCCCGUAGUCCAGGGAAGAGGAGGCCAGGGCGGCCCUGGAGAGGUUGUAGGUGCAGGCGGAUCGCAUGCACUUGUACCUGCUGUAGACUCCAUUCCCUUCAGUACUACAACAGGAUUACUUAAUCCUUAGAGGAUGUACAGCCAAACAAGGUGACUAGCCAUCUGCCAGGAGAGCUUAUUAAAAGAUUUCAUUUCUUGGGCAUCCAGGGAGGAGUCAAAACAAAAGCUCAUGUUACCUUGCAAAAGAUGACAAAGCUUUUGAAAGUAAAAAUUCCCAAGCCAGUGACCAUUGGAGAAGCCUGGCCAACAUUUUGUUGAAUAUUGUGUCCUGAGUCUCUAACCUGCUACCCUCUGAACUGAGACCUCAAGUGCCGGCCCUGAAAGGAAGAAAAAGGAUGACUUGGAAGCAGGGCUGCAGAGAAGCACCUCAGCAGGCAGAGGCCAUGUUUUGAUCACAUGCUGCUCUGUGUCCUGGGGCCAUUGCAAACCAACCCAGCACUGCAGAAAAACAAGUCCAGCAAUGAAAUGCUUUAAAAGCUGUGACAGCAAGCUGGAUACAAUGUCUCAUACCUGCACUUGGGAAGCUGAAGCAGGAGGACUGCUGAAAGUCUGAGACCAGCCUGGGCUACAUUAACACACGCACCUGUAAAGCAUAUCAGCCAAUCAAGCCCAGGCUACAGUUAGCAUUGUGUGGAAGUCAUCAUGGACAUCUACCAGAUCAAUCACCAACUCCCAGAGAUGGGUGGCCUCAAGGAACUGUUCGAACUGAGAUUCGCCAAUGAUUUGAUCUUCAUGAAACGCUGGGGUGAAGAACCUGCUUAGUAAUACACAAGGAGCAGGCUGAUGGAGAGCUUCACUCAUGGCAUCCCAGUCCGUGGCUUCACCCAUCACAUCUUUGUCUGGCCUGCAGGUUAUCAUCAACAGAGGCUUGCUUGCAGGAGACUUGCUGGGGAUUUCACACACCUUUGAGGUAUUAACCAAGCAGCCUGGAGUUCAACACCCAAUCUAAAAGCUGUGGACAGAAAGAGGAAAGAAAUGAGAAUGGUUAUCAGGGACUUAGAAGCCCUGCAGUGACAAGAUACGGAGCAAAAUAAGUGCCCAAAGUAUGAAGCAAAAGUACACCACUGGGAGCGAACUGACCGAUCCUGUGGUGCCAGUGAUCCCAUUGUAUCUCGCAUUUUUCAAAUGAACUGAAAUGUUCAUUUGAACAUUGUUCUCCCCAACUAUGGCAGAGCUGAGAAGAAGGAUGUAUCCGAGAGCCUAAUGGACUCAGCCAAUAACAUCACCAGAUUUUGAGGAUCCACACCCAAGGGUCCCUUUGCUUCCACUCUAACCAGUGCUGGUGCUGUUGGUUACACUGCUUCAAGCAAUCUGGAGCAGAGGUGGAAGGUCCAACCUGGGAGGGUUUGUGUGUGCCCAGCUCUCAUGAGGUAUCCUGUGGGAAAGCAGACAUGAGCAGGGCAGCAGAGGUAUGGUGCAGAGCAGAGGUGAGCAGCACUCUGGAGUCAGUCCACACUAACUCAGUGCACAGCCUUAGGGCAACACACUUCAUUGCACUGUACCUCAGUUUCCUGCCUGUAAAAUAGGUACAAAGUUAUCAACCCUAUUUAUGAGCAACGCUUUACAGUGCUGAGCAUAUCGUCCAGUUCCCAAAUACAUGCAUUGGCAUUAACUGACUUGAACUGAGGGGACAGGCUAGUGAGCUAUGCAGUAGGGUUGGGAGGUCCCCACAACAAUUGGCCACCACAGAUGGGAGAGAUCAGAGCAUGAAAGACAUGGAAGAGGUUUCCCUUGAAAGAUGAGAAAUAAUUAUUGAUGUUAUUUCUUUAUUUUGAGGCACUAGGAAUUGUACCCAAGCUUGGCAAAGGCUGGGCAAGUGUUUUCAUCCCAUAGGCAACAGCUCCAUCAUGUUUUAGAUGAGCACAUGAGGAGUCUGACUGAUCCUAGUUGGGGAAAACAAACCCAUGUUCUUGACCACACUUUUCCCUCUAGCCCCACUGUGAUCAAUUGAACCUCAGGCUGGCUGCACGACUGUAGUAUACAAGGAAAUCUGCUCUCAAGGAGAGGAGAGGACACCAAGGAGCCUGGAGUAAGUCUCUGAGCCAGUGGCAAGAGACUGCCUGUGACGAUAGGAGCCUCUGUUUGCAGUUCCCAAACAGCCCCAGCCUUCUCCCUAGCUUGGUGUGGGUCCAGGGCCAGACAGGCCCCUGGAGGUAGCAUGGAGGCAGCCUCUUAGCUGUAGGAAAAUGGCAGACACAGCCCUUUCCCUAAACACAAGCUGUAGGUUGGUAAUGAUGUUGACUCUUAGUGUUGUUGAGCACAAGCUUCCCCUCUGCCCCAACCUCAGUGACUUUACUUACUUAGAGGCCUAUUGUCCAAAGAGUUGCCAUAGAAGAAAGCAGCUUAGGAGCCUCUAUACUGGUGGAGUCCUACCUUGGCCAGUAGGAAGGGGAGCUAGCUGUUUCUGCUGUUCUUCCCUGCUUCCCAUAGACCUGAGUCUAGCCUUCCUGGCUCACUGGCUGCCCAUAGCCUCCCAUAACGAAUAAUGUCCUUCCUAUUUCCUAAUGGCUACCUGUGGCUAACUUUAUAAGAGACCUCUAAUAAGUACCUCCUCUUGUGCCACAGUUUGGUCAUGCCUUCCUUUGUACCCACUCCAUGAGAACUCAUAUUACAUGGUCCAGAAGAGCGCAUCUUCAUGGAACUGACAGUGUCACUGAUAGAGGUCUCGCUUUCUUGUCUGUGCUGAUCUUUAGCUUCUGGGUUUAUGUGAACCUUGCCUUUGCUUUUCAAGAAGUCAGGACUCCAGACAAGCCUCGCUGUUCAUUUUAAAGAAGAAAGUGUGGCCUAGAGAGCCCAGCUAUAUUGCUGUGACUGGUAAUGCAUUUGUAUACUUGCUGUGUCAUAGUUAACUUCUGAAGCGCUUCAGACAAUGAAGCCAAGCAGCACAGAGCAGAGUCCCUGGAGCUUCCUUUGGACUGAGGAAGAAGGAGGAGGUGACCUGUCGGUUGUGGGAAGAGGAACGGAAAGCCAUCAGGUCCCUCAGAGGGGGCUGAGGAGGCCCAGCAUUGGUGUCAGUUUGUGAAGAUCAUGCAGAACCAUGCCAGAAGGGUGAGGGGGCUGCACUUCAUGUUGAGAACUGUAGGUCCUAGAGGCAAGAAGUGGAUGGAGGUGUCUCAGGCAUCAAGAGGAGACCCUGAGGGAAAGAGGAGGUUGGCCUGCAGAGAAGCUUUGCAUUUUGUUGUUUGUCUCCUUGUUAAGUGUGGGGAAUGGCUUUCCCAUGGGGCCAGAGCCCAAGCAGUAGACUCGACCACACUUUUUAUUUUCUUUAAAGCUCUUGCAUGUCUGCUAUAGUGUUGCAUUUUUGCUAUAUAAGCCCAUGUCAUCUUACCCACUUUUAGUAAAGGCUGCUACAGACAUGAA